rnacentral:lncRNA from 1 species
CCUGUCUCAAAACACCCACACAUGCAAACCCAGAUAUUCUCUGAAGAUAUAUUCUGAUCAGAAAUAAGAAUAAUUUGGAAAUCAUUCAGUCACAGAGUUUCUGUCAUUUUUUUCUUCUCUCAUUUUAGGAAACCAAAUAUGAACAGUGAAAGAGAGAGUCCUAUUCUUAUAGGGUCACUGAAAUUAGGAGAAUGAGACUGAUAUCUUAGUUCUGUGUAACAAGGAAUAAUCAAUGAGUGGUUUAUUAUGGGGG